AAGAGAGGAAGUACUUGGGCCGGCUCCAGCAUCCCCACGCGCGUAGGGCCCAGGGGACCGGCUGCUCCCCGCCAGGGGGGCUUCCGCGAAUCCCUCUCACCUCGGCGGGGGACCUGUACUAGAAUGGUCUCCCCCUAAAGUCAGUCUGGGUCUGCAACCAGCCUGCUUGAAGUCCCCUGCUACCUUCAGGGUAUAAGAGAGAGGGGAAAGGAGAGAGGAAGGGAUGGAGAGAAGCAUCAAUUGGUUGCCUCCUGUAUGCGCCCUAUGGGGGAUCAUGAGGGCUUGGACCAGGAAUAGGACCUGCA